UGCCAGCCGCCGCGGUAAUACGAAGGGUGCUAGCGUUGUUCGGAAUUACUGGGCGUAAAGAGCAUGUAGGCGGAUGAAUUAGUCAGAGGUGAAAGCCCCGAGCUCAACUUGGGAACUGCCUUUGAUACUGUUUAUCUAGAGUCCGAGAGAGGUUAGUGGAAUUCCCAGUGUAGAGGUGAAAUUCGUAGAUAUUGGGAAGAACACCAGUGGCGAAGGCAGCUUACUAAGCUACGAUUGACGCUGAGACACGAAAGCGUGUGGAUCUAACAGGAUUAGAUA
rnacentral:rRNA from 1 species